CCUACGUGUGGCAGCAGUGGGGAAUAUUGCUCAAUGGGGGGAACCCUGAUGCAGCGACGCCGCGUGAAGGAAGAAGUAUCUCGGUAUGUAAACUUCUAUUAGCAGGGAAGAAAGAGGACGGUACCUUACUAAGAAGCCCCGGCUAACUACGGGCCAGCCGCCUCGGUAAUACGGAGGGGGCGAGCGUUAUCCGGAUUUACUGGGGGUAAAGGGAGCGUAGACGGCCAUGCAAGCUCGGUGUGAAAGGUGCGGGCACAACCCGCAGACCGCAGUGGAAACCGUAUGGCUGGAGUGCCGGAGGGGCAGGCGGAAUGCCUGGUGUAGCGGUGAAAUGCGUAGAUAUCAGGAGGAACACCGGUGGCGAAGGCGGCAUGCUGGACGGCGACUGACGUUGAGGCUCGAAAGCGUGGGGAGCGAACAGGAUUAGAUACCCCUGUAGUC
rnacentral:rRNA from 1 species